GCCAAGAUGGAUUCUACUCCAUGACGCGGAGAGCUCUCGAACAGCCUCAGCGGCAAGUUGGAGCACGGGGACUCGGUACAGCAAUGGAGCGGCAGAAGUUCAAGUUCCAGAUGAUGCACGCGAUGGCCUAGUUGAUGCGAGGGCGAUCUGGGCAGUUACAGCUGAUCACUCACUGCCAUGAAAGGGGAAUCGCGACAUGGAUCUGACUAAGCUGAAAGUACAGACUCGUUUCAAUAGGCCAGCUUAAACUUUUUCAUCCAUCUUGAUCCAGUUUCACUAUUGCUUCAUACUGACUAUACAUUUAUUGCUGUAUAACAACAUCAGCUUAUAUAUCCUCACACUCGUUCUCUGUACCUGAUCAUAUACUAGCUGGAUAAUAAACAUCUUAGUUGCGCUUAUAAUGUUUAUCAAGGAAUUCAUGUUUUCUGUGGUAAUUGUUCCUAGGUAUGUAGAUAUUUUUUGCCUUGAUAUUUAUCAACGCAUAAUCUAGUUAUUUGAGAUUUGGAGCAGUCAAUAAUAAAUGCACAGCAAGAAUGCAGUUACAACUUUGUCAUGGAUCGUCUAUCUAGAUAAGCAUAUAUCGAUGGACUUGUGACAUCUUGUACUUAUAGUUAUAGUUCUACAUUUUCUGCGCUGCCAUUGUAUUUACUCUAUAUCUUCAAGAGAUGUUAGCAAAGGACACAUGGAUGCUUAAAACAUGCAGUCUUGCAUAUGAGUUUCUGAUAGAAAAUUCAUUCCUGAAGUUGAUGCCAUUCGACUAGAGUAUUAAUCAUUUCGUAUACAUACCCUCAUUCUCUGUUUUGUGCAACUAGUAAUUGGAUUGACUAUACCUAUCGGUUUUUGCCAAUUUGAUACCAUAGUAGAUUUUUUUUUAUUGCUGGACCAACAAAUCGACAAACAACAGAUCGGCAAGGCCUUACUAUAUUCAGAUAUAAGCUCUGAAGAUAUCGAAAGGAGGAAUAUUAGGAAUGUAUAGGGCUAGUUAGAUUGUAAUAUUUUUGAAUCAAGAUUAUAA